rnacentral:tRNA from 1 species
GCGACUGUGGCGGAACUGGCAUACGCGCUAGACUAAGGAUCUAGUCCGGGAUAACUGGGUGGGGGUUCAAAUCCCCCCAGUCGCA